rnacentral:rRNA from 1 species
UACGAACGCUGGCGGCGUGCUUAACACAUGCAAGUCGAACGGAAAGGCCCUGCUUUUGUGGGGUGCUCGAGUGGCGAACGGGUGAGUAACACGUGAGUAACCUGCCCUUGACUUUGGGAUAACUUCAGGAAACUGGGGCUAAUACCGGAUAGGAGCUCCUGCUGCAUGGUGGGGGUUGGAAAGUUUCGGCUGUUGGGGAUGGACUCGCGGCUUAUCAGCUUGUUGGUGGGGUAGUGGCUUACCAAGGCUUUGACGGGUAGCCGGCCUGAGAGGGUGACCGGCCACAUUGGGACUGAGAUACGGACCAGACUCCUACGGGAGGCAGCAGUGGGGAAUAUUGCACAAUGGGCGGAAGCCUGAUGCAGCAACGCCGCGUGCGGGAUGACGGCCUUCGGGUUGUAAACCGAUUUCGCAUGUGACGAAGCGUGAGUGACGGUAAUGGGUAAAGAAGCACCGGCUAACUACGUG